rnacentral:rRNA from 1 species
UACGAAGGGGGCUAGCGUUGUUCGGAAUCACUGGGCGUAAAGCGCACGUAGGCGGAUCUUUAAGUCAGGGGUGAAAUCCCGGGGCUCAACCUCGGAACUGCCUUUGAUACAGCAAGUCUUGAGUUCGAGAGAGGUGGGUGGAAUUCCUAGUGUAGAGGUGAAAUUCGUAGAUAUUAGGAAGAACACCGGUGGCGAAGGCGGCCCACUGGCUCGAUACUGACGCUGAGGUGCGAAAGCGUGGGGAGCAAACAGGG